GACGAACGCUGGCGGCGUGCCUAAUACAUGCAAGUCGAACGAACUCUGGUAUUGAUUGGUGCUUGCAUCAUGAUUUACAUUUGAGUGAGUGGCGAACUGGUGAGUAACACGUGGGAAACCUGCCCAGAAGCGGGGGAUAACACCUGGAAACAGAUGCUAAUACCGCAUAACAACUUGGACCGCAUGGUCCGAGUUUGAAAGAUGGCUUCGGCUAUCACUUUUGGAUGGUCCCGCGGCGUAUUAGCUAGAUGGUGGGGUAACGGCUCACCAUGGCAAUGAUACGUAGCCGACCUGAGAGGGUAAUCGGCCACAUUGGGACUGAGACACGGCCCAAACUCCUACGGGAGGCAGCAGUAGGGAAUCUUCCACAAUGGACGAAAGUCUGAUGGAGCAACGCCGCGUGAGUGAAGAAGGGUUUCGGCUCGUAAAACUCUGUUGUUAAAGAAGAACAUAUCUGAGAGUAACUGUUCAGGUAUUGACGGUAUUUAACCAGAAAGCCACGGCUAACUACGUGCCAGCAGCCGCGGUAAUACGUAGGUGGCAAGCGUUGUCCGGAUUUAUUGGGCGUAAAGCGAGCGCAGGCGGUUUUUUAAGUCUGAUGUGAAAGCCUUCGGCUCAACCGAAGAAGUGCAUCGGAAACUGGGAAACUUGAGUGCAGAAGAGGACAGUGGAACUCCAUGUGUAGCGGUGAAAUGCGUAGAUAUAUGGAAGAACACCAGUGGCGAAGGCGGCUGUCUGGUCUGUAACUGACGCUGAGGCUCGAAAGUAUGGGUAGCAAACAGGAUUAGAUACCCUGGUAGUCCAUACCGUAAACGAUGAAUGCUAAGUGUUGGAGGGUUUCCGCCCCUCAGUGCUGCAGCUAACGCAUUAAGCAUUCCGCCUGGGGAGUACGGCCGCAAGGCUGAAACUCAAAGGAAUUGACGGGGGCCCGCACAAGCGGUGGAGCAUGUGGUUUAAUUCGAAGCUACGCGAAGAACCUUACCAGGUCUUGACAUACUAUGCAAAUCUAAGAGAUUAGACGUUCCCUUCGGGGACAUGGAUACAGGUGGUGCAUGGUUGUCGUCAGCUCGUGUCGUGAGAUGUUGGGUUAAGUCCCGCAACGAGCGCAACCCUUAUUAUCAGUUGCCAGCAUUAAGUUGGGCACUCUGGUGAGACUGCCGGUGACAAACCGGAGGAAGGUGGGGAUGACGUCAAAUCAUCAUGCCCCUUAUGACCUGGGCUACACACGUGCUACAAUGGAUGGUACAACGAGUUGCGAACUCGCGAGAGUAAGCUAAUCUCUUAAAGCCAUUCUCAGUUCGGAUUGUAGGCUGCAACUCGCCUACAUGAAGUCGGAAUCGCUAGUAAUCGCGGAUCAGCAUGCCGCGGUGAAUACGUUCCCGGGCCUUGUACACACCGCCCGUCACACCAUGAGAGUUUGUAACACCCAAAGUCGGUGGGGUAACCUUUUAGGAACCAGCCGCCUAAGGUGGGACAGAUGAUUAGGGUG
rnacentral:rRNA from 1 species